rnacentral:rRNA from 1 species
AUUGAACGCUGGCGGCAUGCCUUACACAUGCAAGUCGAACGGUAACAGGUCUUCGGAUGCUGACGAGUGGCGAACGGGUGAGUAAUACAUCGGAACGUGCCCGAUCGUGGGGGAUAACGACGCGAAAGCUUUGCUAAUACCGCAUAAGAUCCAAGGAUGAAAGCAGGGGACCGCAAGGCCUUGCGCGAACGGAGCGGCGGAUGGCAGAUUAGGUAGUUGGUGGGAUAAAAGCUUACCAAGCCGACGAUCUGUAGCUGGUCUGAGAGGACGACCAGCGACACUGGGACUGAGACACGGCCCAGACUCCUACGGGAGGCAGCAGUGGGGAAUUUUGGACAAUGGGCGAAAGCCUGAUCCAGCCAUGCCGCGUGCAGGAUGAAGGCCUUCGGGUUGUAAACUGCUUUUGUACGGAACGAAAAGACUCUUUCUAAUAAAGAGGGUCCAUGACGGUACCGUAAGAAUAAGCACCGGCUAACUACGUGCCAGCCGCCGCCGUAA